rnacentral:rRNA from 1 species
GAACGUACGCUGGCGGCACGCCUAACACAUGCAAGUCGAACGAAGUAGCAAUACUUAGUGGCAGACGGGUGAGUAACGUGUGGGUAUCUACCCUUUGGCCUGGAAUAACACGAGGAAACUUGUGCUAAUACCGGAUAAGUCUUUACGGAGAAAGCUUUAUGCACCAUUGGAUGAGCCCGCACUUGAUUAGUUUGUUGGUAGGGUAAUGGCCUACCAAGACUAUGAUCAAUAGCUGAUUUGAGAGGAUGAUCAGCCACAUUGGGACUGAGACACGGCCCAAACUCCUACGGGAGGCAGCAGUGGGGAAUCUUGCACAAUGGAGGAAACUCUGAUGCAGCGAUGCCGCGUGAGUGAAGAAGGCCUUUGGGUUGUAAAGCUCUUUCGUCGGGGAAGAAAAUGACUGUACCCGAAUAAGAAGGUCCGGCUAACUUCGUGCCAGCAGCCGCGGUAAUACGAAGGGACCUAGCGUAGUUCGGAAUUACUGGGCUUAAAGAGUUCGUAGGUGGUUGAAAAAGUUGGUGGUGAAAUCCCAGAGCUUAACUCUGGAACUGCCAUCAAAACUUUUCAGCUAGAGUAUGAUAGAGGAAAGCAGAAUUUCUAGUGUAGAGGUGAAAUUCGUAGAUAUUAGAAAGAAUACCAAUUGCGAAGGCAGCUUUCUGGAUCAUUACUGACACUGAGGAACGAAAGCAUGGGUAGCGAAGAGGAUUAGAUACCCUCGUAGUCCAUGCCGUAAACGAUGUGUGUUAGACGUUGGAAAUUUAUUUUCAGUGUCGCAGGGAAACCGAUAAACACACCGCCUGGGGAGUACGACCGCAAGGUUAAAACUCAAAUGAAUUGACGGGGACCCGCACAAGUAGUGGAGCAUGUGGUUUAAUUCGAAGAUACGCGCAGAACCUUACCAACACUUGACAUGUUCGUCGCGACUCUAAGAGAUUAGAGUUUUCGGUUCGGCCGGACGAAACACAGGUGCUGCAUGGCUGUCGUCAGCUCGUGUCGUGAGAUGUUGGGUUAAGUCCCGCAACGAGCGCAACCCUCACUUUUAGUUGCCAUCAUUAAGUUGGGCACUCUGAAAGAACUGCCAGUGAUAAGCUGGAGGAAGGUGGGGAUGACGUCAAGUCCUCAUGGCCCUUACGUGUUGGGCUACACACGUGCUACAAUGGCAUCUACAACAGGAAGCAAAACGGCAACGUUAAGCAAAUCCCGAAAAGAUGCCUCAGUUCGGAUUGCACUCUGCAACUCGAGUGCAUGAAGCUGGAAUUACUAGUAAUCGUGGAUCAGCGUGCCACGGUGAAUGCGUUCCCGGGUCUUGUACACACCGC